ACUAGUAUAGUUUAAUGGUAGAAUAGGGAACUUCCACUUCUUUGAUUACGGUUCGAUUCCGUAUACUAGUA
rnacentral:tRNA from 1 species